rnacentral:lncRNA from 1 species
GAAUGGCUAUCCAACUGAAGCAUAUGACUUCCGUUGGAGGUUUAGUUCUCCAGAACAAUUUCCAUUGCCAAUUGUUGAUCAAUUGUUCUUCUGGCUGGCUUUUUGUUGUCCACAAACACCCUUGGGUUUGUGGGCAGAUCAACCACCUAAAACUUGUGCCAUCUAGUGGUUGUAAUUCUUCCCAGUAAGAUCAUAUUUACUAUUUCUC